rnacentral:rRNA from 1 species
CUGGUCGAUCCCUAUCCACUCCAAAGAAAAGGAAAAUAACCCCAUCGGCACCUGGUUCUUCAUCCACACGCAUCAUUUCGCCAGAUUUGCUGCCGGCGAAGGUAGAUAUCGCUCGUGGGCGGUGGCCAUCAUUGAGAGUCUACCCCCCUCUAAAAUUUCUCUUCCUGGGGUUGGUGGCGUAGGUGGCCGGGUGAGUGCGUGAACGCGUUUGAUGCGGUCUUCAGGGUGCAGAUGCUCGCCCACCUCGGCGAGUCCGGCGGCGAGGCCAUCAGGAGGUCCGGCGGCUAGCGACGGUGGUGGAUGUGCUGGAGGUUGGUGGCAUUGAGGGGGCAGUAAGGAAGCUCACGGAGAAGGGUGUGGAUUUCCUAGAUGAGUUCGUGCAAUGGAUAAUGGUCGGUUCUGAGGAGCGGGGCAGAGACUUGCACUGCGGCUAUGCUUCAUGAGAGCUAUGGGGUUAUGUAGACAAAUGUGAGAUCGUGCCAUAAGCAAAUGACAUCAAGAUCUGAGCACCGUUGCAGACGGCCUCGAGUUAUUUUCCUCUUCAUCUCCUACAAAAUGUUGCUUGCAUGGUCAAUUUGGGCAUCGGUUUGUUAAGCAGCAAAAGCUCGCAUGUUGAAUCUACUCAACUCAAGUGGCCGGGUGAGUGCGUGAACGCGUUUGAUGCGGUCUUCAGGGCAGAUGCUCGCCCACCUCAGCGAGUCCGGCGGCGAGGCCAUCAGGAGGUCCGACGGCUAGCGACGGUGGUGGAUGUGCUGGAGGUUGGUGGCGUUGAGGGGGCAGUAAGGAAGCUCACGGAGAAGGGUGUGGAUUUCCUAGAUGAGUUCGUGCAAUGGAUAAUGGUCGGAUCUGAGGAGCGGGGCAGAGACUUGCACUGCGGCUAUGCUUCAUGAGAGCUAUGGGGUUAUGUAGACAAAUGUGAGAUCGUGCCAUAAGCAAAUGACAUCAAGAUCUGAGCACCGUUGCAGACGGCCUCGAGUUAUUUUCCUCUUCAUCUCCUACAAAAU